ACUCCUACGGGAGGCAGCAGUGGGGAAUAUUGCACAAUGGGGGAAAGCCCAUCGAUGCAGCCAUGCCGCGUGUGUGAAGAAGGCCUUCGGGUUGUAAAGCACUUUCAGUAGGGAGGAAGGUAGUGUAGUUAACACCUGCAUUAUUUGACGUUACCUACAGAAGAAGCACCGGCUAACUCCGUGCCAGCAGCCGCGGUAAUACGGAGGGUGCGAGCGUUAAUCGGAAUUACUGGGCGUAAAGCGCAUGCAGGCGGCCUGUUAAGUCAGAUGUGAAAGCCCGGGGCUUAACCUCGGAAUUGCAUUUGAAACUGGCAGGCUAGAGUCUUGUAGAGGGGGUG
rnacentral:rRNA from 1 species